rfam:Candidatus Accumulibacter sp. BA-93 contig000056, whole genome shotgun sequence.
GGCGUCGGCUCUAUCAAACUGGGGCUGCGUCGUUCUUACGAAAGAGAGUUUGACAUGGCGAUCAAUGUUGAGCAGAAAGCUCAAAUCAUGGCCGAGUACCAGCGUGCUGCC